rnacentral:rRNA from 1 species
CUAGCCCCCUCCGUAUUACCGCGGCUGCUGGCACGGAGUUAGCCGGGGCUUAUUCUCCCGGUACUGUCAUUAUCAUCCCGGGUAAAAGAGCUUUACAACCCUAAGGCCUUCAUCACUCACGUGGCAUUGCUGGAUCAGGGUUGCCCCCAUUGUCCAAUAUUCCCUACUGCUGCCUCCCGUAGGAGUCUGGGCCGUGUCUCAGUCCCAGUGUGGCUGAUCAUCCUCUCAGACCAGCUAAGGAUCGUCGCCUUGGUAAGCCUUUACCUUACCAACUAGCUAAUCCUACGCGGGCUCAUCCAUGGGCGAUAAAUCUUUGGACUUUCGUCAUCAUCCGGUAUUAGCGUUCGUUUCCAAACGUUAUUCCGAACCCAAGGGCAGAUUCCCACGCGUUACGCACCCGUGCGCCACUAGACCCCGAAGGAUCUCGUUCGACUUGCAUGUAUUAGGCAUGCCGCCAGCGUUCGUUCUGAGCCAGGAUCAAACUCUAAUCGUCGACCUGCAGCCCGGGGG